GACGAACGCUGGCGGCGUGCUUAACACAUGCAAGUGGAGCGACGAACCGGGCUUCGGCCCGGGGCAAAGCCGCGAACGGGUGAGUAUCACGUGGGUAACCUGCCCCGAUGACCGGGACAACCCGAGGAAACUCGGGCUAAUACCGGAUGUGUUCUCAAUCCACGAGGGUUGAGAGAAAAGGAAGCUUCGGCCUCCGCCUUGGGAUGGGCCCGCGGCCCAUUAGCUUGUUGGUGAGGUAACGGCUCACCAAGGCCACGAUGGGUAGCUGGUCUGAGAGGACGAUCAGCCACACUGGGACUGAGACACGGCCCAGACUCCUACGGGAGGCAGCAGUGGGGAAUCUUGCGCAAUGCGCGAAAGCGUGACGCAGCAACGCCGCGUGAGGGAAGAAGGCCUUCGGGUUGUAAACCUCUUUCAGGAGGGACGAAGGUUCAGGCGCGAAUAGCGUCCUGGACUGACGGUACCUCCAGAAGAAGCCCCGGCUAACUACGUGCCAGCAGCCGCCGCAGUAA
rnacentral:rRNA from 1 species